rnacentral:rRNA from 1 species
AUUGAACGCUGGCGGCAGGUUUAACACAUGCAAGUCGAACGAUGAGUCUCUAGCUUGCUCGAGAUGAUUAGUGGCGGACGGGUGAGUAACAUUUAGGAAUCUACCUAGUAGUGGGGGAUAGCUCGGGGAAACUCGAAUUAAUACCGCAUACGACCUACGGGUGAAAGGGGGCGCAAGCUCUUGCUAUUAGAUGAGCCUAAAUCAGAUUAGCUAGUUGGUGGGGUAAAGGCCCACCAAGGCGACGAUCUGUAACUGGUCUGAGAGGAUGAUCAGUCACACCGGAACUGAGACACGGUCCGGACUCCUACGGGAGGCAGCAGUGGGGAAUAUUGGACAAUGGGGGCAACCCUGAUCCAGCCAUGACGCGUGUGUGAAGAAGGCCUUUUGGUUGUAAAGCACUUUAAGCAGGGAGGAGAGGCUAAUGGUUAAUACCCAUUAGAUUAGACGUUACCUGCAGAAUAAGCACCGGCUAACUCUGUG